rnacentral:rRNA from 1 species
AACGUAGGAGACAAACGUUAUCCGGAGUUACUGGGCGUAAAGGGCGUGUAGGUGGUUUUGUAAGUCUGGCGUGAAAUUUUUCGGCUUAACCGGGAAAGGUCGUCGGAUACUGCAGGACUAGAGGACGGUAGAGGCGUGUGGAAUUCCGGGUGUAGUGGUGAAAUGCGUAGAGAUUCGGAGGAACACCAGUGGCGAAGGCGACACGCUGGGCCGUACCUGACACUGAUGCGCGACAGCAUGGGGAGCAAACAGG